CAUAGGAUCCAAUGUGAUCAUGUUUGAUUGUUCCUACAGAAUUAUCUACAUAUGUAUGAUCUGUAGACCGAAUCCAGUUUACUCAAUAGCACUUCGAGGGCUAUCAACGGCCGUUUCUGGUCUUACGACAUGCGUUCUGCACUAACCUUGUGGCCGACGACUUUUUUGUUGAUAAAAAUAAUAACAAAUUGAAAUUCCAGCCAUAUAAGAGCGCUAAAGCUAACGAACUCCGUGGAAGCCCAGUGCGGGGGCUCCGGCAAGGCUAUGAAAGAGCUACGAAAAUUAUGCGAGACGUAAAAAAGAGGAACAAAAAAUUUAAAGUCGCAGAGCGUUAAAAAUAAAAUAUCAGACACGCAACAGCGACGCCAGCGAAGGCAACGUCGGCAGCAACUGCGCUGGCAGUGUUUUCUAUAGAAAACGAAAAUUAUUUCCUGUUUUUAGUAAAUAGCAACAAUUGCGCAGUCAGCGUCGCAGUCAGCGUUGAUGGUUGAGGUGGGAAAAUACAUACAUACAAACGUAUUGCCCUGCAGCCAGAGAUAACAGAAAAAGUUGGGCAAAAGACAUGCCAAUCAAGGUGUAUUGAGACAAGGUGCGACUCCAGAGAAUGCUCCCAUGACAGUUGUCUAUUUUGUUUCCACUGCGCGUACAUAGAUAGAAUAAAAGAGGGGCACAAAAAUAGGCAACUCAAACGGAGAAUAAAUCCACACUCAAUACAAAGGCACCUUGCACUGCAGUGCACUGCACUGCUCCCUCUGCGUGGGGGUGGCAUAACAUGGCGUGGUGAAUAGCCUCAACAAUCAGUAGGGGAGAGAGAGGCUGAUGCAGAGGGAACCGUUGCAUAGUGCCCCGUUGGAAAUGACGCAGUGCAAAAGACAAAGGUGGCCAAAACAAUGCGUACAAGAGCUGAUUGAUAACAUGGUGCGUCUUACAAAAUGAACAAUGUAAAGCCAGUGGAACAGAGGGAGCUACAGCUAGAGAGGGAAAAUGUUUACAUAUCUAUGUACACAUAUAUGUAAGUUUGCUACAAGGUUGAGUGUGAGAGCGAGUGCAUUGUACAGCCAUAUGGGGAAAAGGACCAUAAAUUGAGCAUGUGGAAGCAAAUCUAGCAAGGGGGAAAAGGAACAGACUAAAGUUUUGUGUAUUUUUGGCACGCACUCACUCCAUCUCGCCAAAAAUGUAUGUUUAUCUCAAGGUAUGUUUAUAUAGGAUAGGGUGAAGCAUUUCCACACAUAUGUAUGUAUGUACAUAAUUUUGCAACUCUAACUCUAUUUAUAUUUAGUGGCAAAGGUUCCCAAUAUCAUUUAUCACGGAGAGCGCUCUCUGAAAAUUCCCCACCCUACAUUAAUAUACACUUUGGUUUAUCCCAUUUUGCUUUGGUGCAUUCAACCUGGGGGAAAGGAAAGGAACGGGAAGACAGGUGCACGACAAGCACAUUUACCGUUUGCGGUGUGAUCAACAGCUGUCUGAAUUCCAAUUGCAAUUGUUUAAGUUAACCCAAUGGGAUGGAUGCCCUCAUCCCCCUGCCGAUGAUGGAGUGAAACCUGAAUGCGCCAUCAUUAGCAGCAGGCCGUGAAAGUACUGCAGUCGUCGGGUUAAGGAGGGAGGAAACUCCAGCUAACCGAUGCACCAUCACCACCCCUCUAUCGAAAGAGUCGUCGUCGUCAUGAUUAACAAAAACAGUUGAUUGAACUUUGUUUGGCCUCCACACACACGACACGCAUCCACACAUCUACAAGUCCCAUCGCGUUUGCUCAUGCCCGUGUCUGUGUCGCCUGUGUGCUCUUGAACUGCCCCACUUUGCCGUGUGUGUGGGGCUCAUAAUAUAUUUUCGGGUGUUAAUGACCA